rnacentral:rRNA from 1 species
CCAUCCUAACGGAUGGCUUUUCGUGAGACUAAAUCUCUCACGGAAUAAGUGGUGGGUAAAUCUCGUGCCAGCCGCCGCGGUAAUACGAGUAGCACUAGUGGUACCCGUGAAUAUUGAGCUUAAAGCGUUCGUAGCCGGUCGAGUCAGUUUCCUGUGAAAUCUGCGGGCUUAACCCGCUUAGGCGUGCAGGAAAUACUGCUCGGCUAGGGAACGGGGGAGGUCAGGAGUACUCUAGGGGGAGCGGUAAAAUGCUGUAAUCCUUGGAGGACUAACGAUGGCGAAGGCACCUGACUAAAACGUGUCCGACGGUGAGGGACGAAGGCUAGGGGAGCGAACGGGAUUAGAUACCCCGGUAGUCCUAGCAGUAAAUGAUGCAGAUUUGGCGUUGCAUUCACCACGAGUGGGUGCAGUGCCGUAGGGAAACCGUUUAAUCUGCCGCUUGGGGAGUACGAUCGCAAGAUUGAAACUUAAAGGAAUUGGCGGGGGAGCACCACAAGGGGUGGAUGCUGCGGUUCAAUCGGACUCAACGCCGAGAAACUUACCAAGAGAGACGGCAGAAUGAAGCCCAGGCUAAAGACCUUGGCUAACGAGCCGAGAGGUGUUGCAUGGCCAGCGUCAGUUCGUGCCGUGAGGUGUCAGGUUAAGUCCUGCAACGAACGAGAUCUCCGUCAACAGUUGCCAGUCGUUCCUCCGGGGGCGGCGCACUCUGUUGAGACUGCCUGCGUUAAGUGGGAGGAAGGAGGAGGCGACGACUAGGUCUGUAUGGCCCGAAUCUCUUGGGCCACACGUGGCAUACAAAGGCGCGGACAAUGGGUUCCGACACCGAAAGGUGGAGGCAAUCCCCUAAACCGCGUCCCAGUCCAGAUUGGGGGCUGAAACUCGUCCCCAUGA